rnacentral:tRNA from 1 species
GGUUCGGUAGUUCAGUUGGUGGAACGUCUGCUUAACACGCAGAAGGUCGUCGGUUCAAGUUCGGCCCGAAUCA